rnacentral:rRNA from 1 species
UACGUAGGGUGCAAGCGUUGUCCGGAAUUAUUGGGCGUAAAGAGCUCGUAGGCGGUUUGUCGCGUCUGCUGUGAAAACCCGAGGCUCAACCUCGGGCCUGCAGUGGGUACGGGGCAGACUAGAGUGCGGUAGGGGAGAUUGGAAUUCCUGGUGUAGCGGUGGAAUGCGCAGAUAUCAGGAGGAACACCAAUGGCGAAGGCAGAUCUCUGGGCCGUAACUGACGCUGAGGAGCGAAAGCAUGGGGAGCGAACAGGAUUAGAACCGACGAGUC